GCUUGUUUCUGAUAUAGUUCAGUCAGUAGAGCAUGAGACUCUAAUCACGGGGUUGUGGGUUCGAGCCCCAUGUUGGGCA